UAGGGAAUCUUCCACAAUGGGCGCAAGCCUGAUGGAGCAACGCCGCGUGAGUGAAGAAGGUUUUCGGAUCGUAAAGCUCUGUUGUAAGAGAAGAACGUGUGUGAGAGUGGAAAGUUCACACAGUGACGGUAACUUACCAGAAAGGGACGGCUAACUACGNGCCAG
rnacentral:rRNA from 1 species